UACGAAGGGUGCUAGCGUUGUUCGGAAUUACUGGGCGUAAAGCGCGCGUAGGCGGCGAUACAAGUCAGGGGUGAAAUCCCAGAGCUUAACUCUGGAACUGCCUUUGAAACUGUGUUGCUAGAGUAUUGGAGGGGAGCGGGGAAUUCCUAAUGUAGAGGUGAAAUUCGUAGAUAUUAGGAGGAACACCGGUGGCGAAGGCGCCGCUCUGGACAAUUACUGACGCUGAGGCGCGAAAGCGUGGGGAUCAAACAGG
rnacentral:rRNA from 1 species